UCCUACGGGGGGCAGCAGUAGGGAAUCUUCCACAAUGGACGAAAGUCUGAUGGAGCAACGCCGCGUGAGUGAAGAAGGGUUUCGGCUCGUAAAACCCCGUCGGUAGUGAAGAAAGUUAGAGGGAGUAACUGGCCUUUUUUUGACGGUAAUUACCUAGAAAGUCACGGCUAACUACGUGCCAGCAGCCGCGGUAAUACGUAGGUGGCAAGCGUUGUCCGGAUUUAUUGGGCGUAAAGGGCGUGCAGGCGGGCUUGCAAGUCUGAUGUGAAA
rnacentral:rRNA from 1 species